rnacentral:rRNA from 1 species
AACGAACGCUGGCGGCAGGCUUAACACAUGCAAGUCGAACGGUUGCAGCAAUGCAGCAGUGGCAGACGGGUGAGUAACACGUGGGAACCUUCCUAGGGGUACGGAACAACUCAGGGAAACUUGAGCUAAUACCGUAUACGUCCGUGAGGAGAAAGAUUUAUCGCCCUUAGACGGGCCCGCGUCAGAUUAGCUAGUUGGUGGGGUAACGGCCUACCAAGGCGACGAUCCGUAGCUGAUCUUAGAGGAUGAUCAGCCACACUGGGACUGAGACACGGCCCAGACUCCUACGGGAGGCAGCAGUGGGGAAUCUUGGACAAUGGGCGCAAGCCUGAUCCAGCCAUGCCGUGUGAGUGAAGAAGGUCUUCGGAUUGUAAAGCUCUUUUGCCAGGGACGAUAAUGACGGUACCUGGAGAAUAAGCCCCGGCAAACUUCGUGCCAGCCGCCGCAGUAA